CUAGCAUAUCAAUAAGCGGAGGAAAAGAAACCAACAGGGAUUGCCCUAGUAACGGCGAGUGAAGCGGCAACAGCUCAAAUUUGAAAUCUGGCUCUUUCAGAGUCCGAGUUGUAAUUUGCAGAGGGCGCUUUGGUGUCGGCAGCGGUCCAAGUUCCUUGGAACAGGACGUCACAGAGGGUGAGAAUCCCGUACGUGGUCGCUAGCCUUCGCCGUGUAAAGCCCCUUCGACGAGUCGAGUUGUUUGGGAAUGCAGCUCUAAAUGGGAGGUAAAUUUCUUCUAAAGCUAAAUACUGGCCAGAGACCGAUAGCGCACAAGUAGAGUGAUCGAAAGAUGAAAAGCACUUUGGAAAGAGAGUCAAAUAGCACGUGAAAUUGUUGAAAGGGAAGCGCUUGCAGCCAGACUUGCCUGUAGUUGCUUAUCCGGACUUUUGUCCGGUGCACUCUUCUGCGGGCAGGCCAGCAUCAGUUUGGGCGGUUGGAUAAAGGUCUCUGUCAUGUACCUCUCUUCGGGGAGAACUUAUAGGGGAGACGACAUGCAACCAGCCUGGACUGAGGUCCGCGCAUCUGCUAGGAUGCUGGCGUAAUGGCUGUAAGCGGCCCGUCUUGAAACACGGACCAAGGAGUCUAACAUCUAUGCGAGUGUUUGGGUGUCAAGCCCAGACGCGUAAUGAAAGUGAACGGAGGUGGGAACCCUUUGGGUGCACCAUCGACCGAUCCUGAUGUCUUCGGAUGGAUUUGAGUAAGAGCAUGGCUGUUGGGACCCGAAAGAUGGUGAACUAUGCUUGAAUAGGGUGAAGCCAGAGGAAACUCUGGUGGAGGCUCGCAGCGGUUCUGACGUGCAAAUCGAUCGUCAAAUUUGGGCAUAGGGGCGAAAGACUAAUCGAACUAUCUAGUAGCUGGUUCCUGCCGAG
rnacentral:rRNA from 1 species